rnacentral:rRNA from 1 species
UACGUAGGGGGCUAGCGUUGUCCGGAAUCAUUGGGCGUAAAGAGCGUGUAGGCGGUCCGGUAAGUCCGCUGUGAAAGUCGGGGGCUCAACCUCGAGACGCCGAUGGAAACCAUCUGGCUAGAGUCCGGAAGAGGAGAGUGGAAUUCCCGGUGUAGCGGUGAAAUGCGCAGAUAUCGGGAAGAACACCCGUGGCUAAGGCGGCUCUCUAGUACGGUACUGACGCUGAGACGCGAAAGCGUGGGGAGCGAACAGG